AUUUCACAAGGGGGAGGUAGAGCCAAAUCUCUGUAGUAAUUGAUGUAUAUCAGCUCCAAAUACCAAGGUCUUCCCUUGAAGGGAAUGGGAAGUUGCGGAGGACUGCCUUGAUGCUCACUUUUCCCUCUGGAUACUGAGAGUUUGGGGAGAGCUCUUAACUCUACAGCAGAGUUGAAUAAAGGACCCCUCUGCUGUCCUUGUCCAAUACUGCUUGUCUUACCAUCACCGACAACCCGGAGUACAGCUUCCUCGGCUCGGCUGUCCCCGCAGAGUGCUCUUGCAGGCUGCGCACCACCCGCGGAUCCCCCAGAAAGGGGAAAUCCAGGGGGAACUGAUCUUCCACAGCGGAGGAAGGGCAGAACUCAUUGUCCCAUCCUCCGUUGUCUCAUCUUCCUCCACGUCUCUUCUUUCUCUCCGUCUUUCCCUGUGCCGCUGGGCCCGGUCCCGGCUGUGAGGUGCCCUUUGCCGUCCCUCCUUUGAAGCUCGGCCCGGGAGCAGGAGGAGGGGUGAGGGCGGGAGCCGGGGCUUCGCAGGGAGCCGGGGGGGAGCCUGUGCCCUUCUCCAUGGCGAGGCGGGAGGAGAGGAGGCUCCCGAGGAAGGGAAGCCGGGAGCUGACUCAGCGGAGCAGCCCAGCAUGUUUUCCCGGGAGCGCGCCUUCCCUGCUGGAGCCUGCGGAGGGAGAUCUGAGGAGGGGCUGCGUUGCUUCAGUGAUGUUAUAGACUCUCCCACCCAAGGCUUUCCAUGUGCUCUCACUCCUGCUGUCCCCAACAAGACUGUGGACUUGUUUGAGAUGAUUGAAAAAAUGCAGGGGAGUCGUCUGGACGAACAAAGAUGUUCCCUUCCAGCUCCUCUCAAGACAGAAGAGGAGUAUAUUCCUUACCCCAGCAUCCAUGAGGUGUUACAGAAAGGGUGGCCAUAUCCUCUCAUUAUCUUACCCCAGUUUGGGGGCUACUGGAUUGAAGGGACCAGCCACAACCUCUCCAGCUCGAGUCCAACUCUGUCUGACGUACCCUUUCCCUGGAGUGGUAAAGUGAAACUGGAAAGUGACCCUACAGCCAAGCUGUACCGCAAACAUUUUCUGGGGAAGGAGCACCAGAACUUUUACUCCAGUGACAUGUCCUUGGGCUACCUGGUCCUUUCUGUGAAGUAUGAACAGAUCGAGAAACAGGAAAAUCUACGCCUGUUGCUGAGGACUCGGACUGGCACCAAACACGACCUGAUCCCCAUUUCCUGUCUGAAUGAGUUUCCCAAUGCUGUCCAGAUGGCAAAGCUACUGUGUGAGGAUGUGAAUGUUGAACGCUUCUUUCCUGUCCUCUACCCCAAGGCUUCUCAGCUUAUUGUUGCAUUUGAUGAACAUGUCAUAAGCAAUAACUUCAAAUUUGGGGUCAUCUACCAGAAACCUGGACAGACGACUGAAGAAGAAGUCUUCAGUAACACAGAAGAGAGUCUGGGUUUCCUGGAGUUCCUGGAUUUCCUUGGUGACAAGAUUCAGCUGCAGGAUUUCCGUGGGUUCCGGGGAGGCUUGGAUGUCACUAGAGGUCAAACAGGCACUGAGUCAGUCUACACAAAUUUCCGGGGCAAGGAGAUCAUGUUUCAUGUGUCUACAAAACUGCCCUUCACAGAGGGAGAUUCCCAGCAGCUUCAGCGGAAGCGUCAUAUUGGGAAUGACAUUGUAGCCAUCAUCUUCCAGGAUGAAAGCACGCCUUUUGUCCCUGAUAUGAUUGCUUCUAAUUUCCUACAUGCUUAUGUGGUAGUUCAGCUCACCCCUGGCACCACUGGAGACACUUUCUACAAGGUUUCAGUCACAGCCCGAGAUGACGUCCCUUUCUUUGGACCCCCUCUGCCAAAUCCAGCCAUAUUUAGGAAGAGUGCAGAGUUUCGUGAAUUCCUCCUGGCCAAGCUCAUCAAUGCUGAGUACAGCUGCUAUCGAGCUGAGAAAUUUGCUAAAUUAGAGGAAAGAACCCGGAGUGCCCUCUUGGAAAGCCUUUUUGAGGAGCUGCAGCUUCGCAGUCGCAGUAUGAUGGGAUUGCCCAUAGGGGAGGAUGACAAGAUAGAGAAUGGCAGUGGGGGCUUCCUCGAGAAUUUCAAGCGGGUGAUCAGAGGCCGCAGCCAGAGCCUGGAUACCAUGGGGAUAUCCAUGAGAAAGCAGCAGCCAGCCACCCUGCCCAGCCGCCCAACUACAGCUGGCCUUGCCCUCAGCCAGAGUGUCGCCGAGGGCCCUAAGGCCAUUGCUGCGUCUUUUGCCUUGCCUGGUAGGAGCCCAUCACGUACUCGAGCCAGCCGCUUCCAUGGGCGACGGAGUAGUGCCAUUGGCAUUGAGAACAUACAGGAGGAAAAGAGGUAUGAGCCGUGGGAAGGUGGGACAAAGAGAGGAAAAAAAGCAGGAGGAGAUGAGAAAAGGGAGGUAGAAAGGCACAUAUAAGGACAGAGAGGGAAUCGACAGGAAGGAGAACUGAAAUGGAAAUGGUUGGAAUGGGAAGAAAAGCCUGAUUAUCGGCUAAUGGAGAAAUGGACAAAUGACAGAAACAAAAAAACCAAAAAAGGACAUUUGGAAACGGGGAGAAUCAAUAUUUGAGGAAGAAGCGAGGAGAUGGGUGGAGGAAUAUGGUAAGAUCGCUCUUAAACAUCGUGCAUUGUGAUCUGGAACUCUUGGUUCUCCUGUGGCGAAAAGUAUUCACCACUUUUAGGUAAGGGUCAGAUGAAAGGCUUUUACUUGGGAAGGGGGAAUUGGGUGUUUGAUUUUUUGUUUGUUUUCAUGUUAAAAAAUUCAAAUAAACAAAACUUCUGAUAACUUUAAAAAAGGAUUUCUUAAAAAAAGGUUUAAGUCAAAAUAACUAGCGUUUAAAUUAGAUGGUCUGAACAAUAAUUAUAAUUAAGGGGUAACAUACAGGUUUAAGGAGUGAUUUGGAAUAUUUGACAGAAUUAUUUAGUUAAAUCAAUAAAUUUGUUUUGGCUCUAGCUGAGACAUCUUUUUAAGAUUAUACAGUCUCACAGGAGUGCUUUGCAUCUAACAUACAGUUUUCCCAGUUGCAAGAAUUCCAGGGAACAGCUUAAAGACUCAGUGUAAAAGGCAGAAAGCCAUCUUUAAUGUGGAAACUAGUGAUUUCACAACAUGAAGAAUUACUACAUUUUCCCUUCUUUCCAGUUAUUCUCUUGGACCUUUCAUUAAUGAGGUGCCUAUGACCUAAUCUGAAUAAAAAUAGUAUAGAAAUUUGUUUGAGAAAAAUAAAAUCUUCUGAGACAACUUCCCUGUAACAGUCUAAGCCAACACAGUAGCCACAGCUCCUCACUACUUUAAAUAAUUUUGUACCUUAUGCAGCUGUGCCCCUCAAUCCAUUAUUUUGCAUGCAACAUCCUUCACUAUCCCCUUAAAAGACCUGUAAAAGUUUUCUACAACAAGGAAAAACCCUGGAUUUAUUUUCUUUUUUUCCUGCUCUUUGCUAGGAAGGAAUUGGUGAGCCGUUGGGUUCACUCAGCUUUCCUUUUGCUUAUUUGUAAUCUUACAUAUGAGGAACAGCGAGCCUUAUCUUGUGUUUUCUGAAACACUUUUUGGGUGAUUCUUGAAGGACAAGCAACUGGUCUAAUAGUUCAUGGCUGCUGUAAAGCAGGUAUCACACUUUCCCUCUCCCACUGUCUCUUUCAACUACCCAAUCCUGUCCCAUUCCUCGUGAUGGCUCAGAUGCUUAGUGGACUGAUUCAGUCCAUUAAUCAAACAGAAAACUAUCAACUUUCUUUCGUUGGAUUAAUUGUCUGCCAGGUUCUGCCAUGAACUGUCUCAUGGAGAAGCCUGAUGGGUACCAGGACUGAUGGAAAGUACGCUCAGCAAGAGUGGAGGGGGCUGGAGCAGGCUCUCCGUGUGGCAACAGUGAGCUCAACGUGUCAUGUGUGACUUCACCCUGAAGCUGUAGUUUAACGAUAUGCAGGCUUUGAUGACAGAGCUGAGCCAGUCCGCCCCGCUUGUUCAUGUGUCAUAGAAGUUUCAGGGUCAUGUAGGAUCGGUUCUUGCCAGGAGACACUGCAGAGAGGAUACAGAAGGUGCUGGACAAUCCAGGAACUUUCUUUGACCUGAAGUCUGACGGAUCAUCCAGUCCCAGCUCCCCAGAGUUCCCCAGCAGGAAGAACAAACACAUCUGAGUGGGGACAUCAAGCCAAUCAGGAGUGGACCGGAUGCUACUCAGUCAUUGGUUACCUCACUGAAGAUACUGGCAAGACUUUUGGGGUGAAAUGAGAGUCCUGGCUAAAGAGGAGCAUGAACUUACUUAGAGGACCUCAAGGACUGUGGAGAAACCAAGUGGCACCAAGUAACGCUCCACUGGCAGUUCCUAGAGCAGAAAUCCUGGGAAAGGGAGAUGGACAGAUAGCUCCUAUUGGAGCAUUUUGGUUCUAUGCCCUUCCCAUUGCCCAUUCAGCAGCCACUGAACCAGCCCCUGCUAAUGAUGGGGGAAGGAGGAUGGGGGAGGGAAAGUGCCUCCCCUUCUCUUCCCCUCCGCUCAAAUGAGCGAGAAGAGAACAGGUCGUCCGCAGAAGGAAAGAGCGGGAGAAUAUGUUUCCACCUCUGUCUCUAGUGCCUUCGGAUGACAUAGGUCAGGAAGUGCAGCGCAGAGAACGAGGAUGGAGAAACCUGCUGAGGAAAGAUGCUGAGAAGGAGAUGCUUUGUGGAAAUCUAGGUCCCAGCUCACUUAAAUUCAUGUUAUUGAUUUUCUCUGCUAAGGGAGAAGCAUGUUGGCCUUCAUUUCCUCCAAAAUAUAUUUCCUAAUCUCCUGAGGAAGUAUCUUCGGCCUAUAUUGGCCCUGUCUUUACUGUUCUCCCUGUUGCAUGCUGGCAUGUAAUAUGCCUGGGGCUUUAGGUUUCAUUACUGCUUGUAGGUCAAGACUUGGCCACAUUUUGCAGUGUUUCUGAAGGAAUAAAUAUAUUUAGUAUGUUAAAAGUGUCUUAUCUUUCUUGCUUCUCAUAGCUUUUUUGGGGGGUUCUUAACAUUUUUAAGUGCUUCAUCUCUCUCUUAUAGACUGGUCUCUUGUGCAGGCAGUAUUUCACCGUAAAUGUUAGGCUUACAUGCACAGUGCACCUUCCACCAUGUAAGCUUAUCAAUCAGCCUCAUGGACGGCUCUCUCUCCCAGAUGACUGCAAGCAGUGGAUCCCAAAUUCCGAGCUGGGAGAAGCUGACCUUAAGGGUCUUUCUUGACAGAUAAGAAACAUGCACCAGGCUACCUCAGUGUCCAUGACAUUUGAGAGAGUGGUGGUCAAGUGAUCCAAUGCAGUUUGCUUUGAAUGUUCCUUUUGUAAUGACCUUGUGGGAGCUAAAAGUCUGGUGGGAUGGACCUACAGGAGCCAGUUUACUGGCAACUGGGCGUAUGCAAAAUCACCAGGAUGGCCAUCCUAACCUGGGUAUGUUCCUAUCUGUCAGGAAGAAGGGGGCUCUGACCUGUCUGUGUAAGAUCUUGGCACUUGAUCCUAAUAGUUUGGCACAGAGAUAUCCUAAAAUAAUGCAGAUCUCAGUAAUUUUUUUCCUACCUUCUCAUUGCUUCCUCAAGCUUUCUUAGUUAACCAUUCUAUAAUGCUGGUUAAUUUCUAUAUGCUUUCCUGACUCCUCCUGUUACAACUGUUCAGAAACAUAGUGGUGACAGUUUAUAAGCUCUGUGACAUGAAAAAUGUGCUUUUAUAAUCCCCUUGUACUGUCUGGAAUGUCACAUAAGACCAAACAUGAUAGGCUGAGGGUGGCUAUGGGAACAGGUAGCCUAGGCUGGGUAGUGCUUUCCCUUCAUACUCAGUUUAACACCUCAUCCUGUUGUGUUUAGGCUUUUAAAAUAUCUGAUCUCCAAAACGAAGGCACCUGUUGAUUUUAUGAAUGUCUAGAGGUAAACAGCGCUUAAAUGCAGGUGAUUUGACUCACUCUGCUUUAAAACACUUAGGUCUGUGACUUAAAAAUUUACUUAGUCUUGUCCUUUCAUACAGUUAUCUAGCAAGGAAACAAGCAAUGGUGUUCCUACUAAAUGAAGCAGCAACUAGAAAUUAAGGAAUGCAAGCCAGUUCACCUCAAUUCUGUUCCUAUGUGGAAAAUCUAACUGUGGAUGAAUAGUUUCUUCUCAAUGUUUCUGACUGCUGUAUAAUAAAGUUAUGUCACAAAAAGUGCAGGGCUAUGUGUAACAACAA